rnacentral:rRNA from 1 species
UACGGAGGGUGCGAGCGUUGUCCGGAAUCACUGGGCGUAAAGGGCGCGUAGGCGGCUUGGGAAGUCCGUGGUGAAAGCUCGUGGCUCAACCUUGGAAUUGCCUUUGAUACUGGCUGUCUUGAGUUCGGGAGAGGUGAGUGGAACUCCGAGUGUAGAGGUGAAAUUCGUAGAUAUUCGGAAGAACACCAGUGGCGAAGGCGACUCACUGGCCCCGAUACGUGACGCUGAGGAGCGAAAGCGUGGG